ensembl:snRNA U6 U6 spliceosomal RNA
CUGCUCCUGGAGCGCAGCACGUAUACUAAAAUUGGAACGAUACAGAGAGAUUAGCAUGGCCCCUGCGCAAAGAUGACGUGAAAAUUCGUGAUUACAUGAGAAUCUCA